GUGGGGAAUAUUGCACAAUGGGGGAAACCCUGAUGCAGCAACGCCGCGUGAGUGAAGAAGUAUUUCGGUAUGUAAAGCUCUAUCAGCAGGGAAGAAGAAAUGACGGUACCUGACUAAGAAGCACCGGCUAAAUACGUGCCAGCAGCCGCGGUAAUACGUAUGGUGCAAGCGUUAUCCGGAUUUACUGGGUGUAAAGGGAGCGCAGGCGGAAGGCUAAGUCUGAUGUGAAAGCCCGGGGCUCAACCCCGGUACUGCAUUGGAAACUGGUCAUCUAGAGUGUCGGAGGGGUAAGUGGAAUUCCUAGUGUAGCGGUGAAAUGCGUAGAUAUUAGGAGGAACACCAGUGGCGAAGGCGGCUUACUGGACGAUAACUGACGCUGAGGCUCGAAAGCGUGGGGAGCAAACAGGAUUAGAAACCCUGGUAGUCC
rnacentral:rRNA from 1 species